rnacentral:ncRNA from 1 species
UCACUUACAGGGAUGAAACGGGAAGCUGGUGCGUUUAAACCAUAUGGUUACGACAAUUCCAGCGCUGCCCCCGCAACGGUAAGCGAGUCAUAGUCUGCAUACGCCACUGUGCAAAAGCAUGGGAAGGCGCAGAUGAAGGCACUAACUCGUAAGCCCGGAGACCGGCCAGAAGUG